rnacentral:rRNA from 1 species
GUAAGGAAUAUUGGUCAAUGGACGAAAGUCUGAACCAGCCAUGCCGCGUGAAGGAUGAAGGCCCUCUGGGUUGUAAACUUCUUUUAUCUGGGACGAAAAAAGGGUAUUCUUACUCACUUGACGGUACCAGAGGAAUAAGCACCGGCUAACUCCGUGCCAGCAGCCGCGGUAAUACGGAGGGUGCAAGCGUUAUCCGGAUUCACUGGGUUUAAAGGGUGCGUAGGUGGGUAUUUAAGUCAGUGGUGAAAUCUCCGAGCUUAACUCGGAAACUGCAAUUGAUACUAUUUACCUUGAAUGCCCUGGAGAUAAGCGGAAUAUGUCAUGUAGCGGUGAAAUGCUUAGAUAUGACAUAGAACACCAAUUGCGAAGGCAGCUUACUACGGGGUGAUUGACACUGAGGCACGAAAGCGUGGGGAGCAAACAGGAUUAGAAACCCGAGUAGUCC